UGAAUAAUCCCAUCCAGUUCUUUGAUGUGCUCUAUGUAAUAAUUCUCAUCAUCCUCCCCGAAUACCUCUUCAAGUCUAGACUUCUUCAAACCAGCCAACACUUUGAGUUCUUCAAUCUGUUCUUGAGCCUUGUCGAGUUGAUCUGUCAUGUAACCAUUGGUUGAACAUGCAUAUAGAAGCUCAUUGUUCUUCUCCUUCAGCAGAGUCUUUAACUUCUCCAUCUGACCAGUCAAUUCGGCCACCAUUUCCUCCUCUUUCGCCUUCCGAG
rnacentral:lncRNA from 1 species